CCUACGGGCGGCAGCAGUGGGGAAUAUUGGGCAAUGGGCGCAAGCCUGACCCAGCAACGCCGCGUGAAGGAAGAAGGCUUUCGGGUUGUAAACUUCUUUUGUCAGGGACGAAGCACGUGACGGUACCUGACGAAUAAGCCACGGCUAACUACGUGCCAGCAGCCGCGGUAAUACGUAGGUGGCAAGCGUUAUCCGGAUUUACUGGGUGUAAAGGGCGUGUAGGCGGGACUGCAAGUCAGAUGUGAAAACCACGGGCUCAACCUGUGGCCUGCAUUUGAAACUGUCAAACUGGAGUAUGUGAGAGGGCGGCGGAAUUCCUGGUGUAGGAGUGAAAUCCGUAGAUAUCAGGAGGAACAUCAGUGGCGAAGGCGGCCGCCUGGCACAAAACUGACGCUGAGGUGCGAAAGCGUGGGUAGCAAACAGGAUGAGAUACCCCAGUAGUC
rnacentral:rRNA from 1 species